UACAGAGGGUGCAAGCGUUAAUCGGAUUUACUGGGCGUAAAGCGUGCGUAGGCGGUUCAUUAAGUCGGUUGUGAAAUCCCUGGGCUUAACCUGGGAACUGCAGUCGAUACUGGUGGACUAGAAUGCGGUAGAGGGUGGCGGAACUCCGGGUGUAGCGGUGAAAUGCGCAGAUAUCAGGAGGAACCCCGGUGGCGAAGGCGGGUCUCUGGGCCGAUACUGACGCUGAGGAGCGAAAGCGUGGGGAGCGAACAGG
rnacentral:rRNA from 1 species